rnacentral:lncRNA from 1 species
CAGAUUAGCAGAUAAAUCUGGUUGGAGUGAAUAUCAAGCACUGAGGUCCCAGGGAAAGCAUGGGAGACGAUCUGUUUUAUAAGUGUGGUGGGGACUGGGAUGGUGGGAUUUUACAUUGAGCUGUCCCAUUUGGGGCACCUUGCUUCACAUACUUUGCAAUGGAGAGAUAUUCUUGUUGCUCAAAGUACUAGGCCCUGAUUUUACUGUAUUGAAGACAACUUAUUCAGAAACAUCAAAUGAUAGCCUAGGGUCACUCAGCUGGACAUAGAAUGUAAGUGUUCUAAUUUUUAGAGAUUUUUAUUUUCAUUUUUAAUUGCAUUCAUAUUUGCAAAAUGGAAACCUCAGUUCCAGUACUGGAAGACCAUAUGGUAGAAAGAAGAGAGACAUGGAGUGAGGUGUUUUAGCCCUGGCUCUGCCGUGGAGUCUGGGACAGGUCACCUCUCUCUGACAGAGCCUCAGUUUCUGCAUGUUACGAAUGAAGAACUUGCUUUAGAUGAUCUCUUGGAUUCUUUUUGGCUUUAAGAUUGCCUUGUUUUGUGAUUGGCAAAGGGAGGUGAUUGACAUAGUGACAGGUAGAAGGUUAUAGACGGGAGAACUUGAACUCUCAAAGAGUUGAUCUUCUACAUAUAUGUGGCUACUUUCCUCUUUUUUUUUUUUUUUUUUUUUUUUUUUUGUCUUUUUUGUCUUUUGUCUUUUUGUUGUUGUUGUUGCUAUUUCUUGGGCCGCUCCCGCGGCAUAUGGAGGUUCCCAGGCUAGGGGUUGAAUCGGAGCUGUAGCCACCAGCCUACGCCAGAGCCACAGCAACGUGGGAUCCGAGCCGCGUCUGCAACCUACACCACACUCACGGCAACGCCGGAUCGUUAACCCACUGAGCAAGGGCAGGGACCGAACCCGCAACCUCAUGGUUCCUAGUCAGAUUCGUUAACCACUGCGCCACGACGGGAACUCCUACUUUCCUCUUUUAAUUGACCAUAACAAAACUGUGAAAGAGGGAGCAUAUCGUCAUUCUACAGAUGAGGAAACUGAGGCUCAGAAAGAGAAAGUCACUUAUUCACGAAUACCCCACUAGUAUGUGGCAGAGCUGUCAUUGUUAUGUAGGAAACAAAGCGUUGUUAGUCAUCGAAAUUUCUCAGAAUUUAAAACAAAAUUAUUUUCCCUUUACCAGUGGACUUGAAAUCUGACAGACUGGUUUAGCUCUUAUCAUCAGUUACGUCUUUUGGGUGAGUUGCUGCAUUUUGUAAGCCCCAAUUUUCUUACAUGUAGUAAAGUAAUAAGAGAUAUUGGGGCUGAGGAAGGAGGGGAAUGCUUUACAUAAAGAAUCUAGUAUAUGCUUUUUCCUUUCUACUGAUCUUCCCAGUAUGUAGGGUGAAUUCAUCCAUCCAUCUAUCUAUCACAUUACUUACUAAACACCCACACUGUACAAGAGUAGCCGUAUAGCCAACAAGUGGAGGAGCAGCACUUCAUAAUCAGGGUUGUGCCCGAUGUUGGGAACCAUGGCAGUGGCCCAUGGUUUCAGGUGCAUCUGACUGAGCAGAGGAACAGACCCGUGAACAGACUAACUGCAGAGUGAAUGUCUUAGGUACUGUAGUGCAGGGCAAUACAGACAACUGGAAUUGGGCGGCAGCAGUGACGUUCAUCCAGUUUGUUCUCCGAGGUGAAUUUGUCUGAAUUUUGAUUGUAUUAAUUCCUGGAGGGCAGCUUUGGUUACUCUUUAAUGAAGCCUGGCUUGGCACUCUUCACACAUAAAUGUGGAAGUUUUUUUAAAUGGCAGUGAUAAAUUUCGUAUGUCAUUACUCUUUGAGGCUGGCAGCCACAUAGCAGUAUCAAAAGAGCAGUGUUUUAUUAAUAUCUCCACUCCUUUGUGUUAAAUUGAAGUUUUAACACCGAGGCAAAGAUACACGUAAGAAAGUAAGUUUAGGAAAUUUGCAAAAUAUGCUACUAUGCAACCAAAGAUUAAAUUGAUUUGUUAUAUGUGCAUUUAGCUACAAUUCAUUUUAAUUGUCUGUAUGAAGUUAAAAAGUAUUAGUGUCAGAUAAAGAUUCAUCACCAGAGCGUGAUUUAGGGCUGGUGCUGGAGAACGCAGGCAUGUGUUCCGGCAGAUGUUUGUAUAAGGCGCUGUCUUUCCUGACAGCAGUUAAAAAGUAUGGUUAUAGUAAUCAAAUUGUGGUGCAGCGACUCAGAGGCUAGGGCCAGAUUGAAUUAAAAUAGAUAUAAGAUUUAUGAAUAGCAAUAGCUGUGAUAAAAUUUCACUGCCUUCUUCAACAGGAAGGACUUUUUCCACAGUAGAAAGAAGAAAAUCUAAUAACCACUUUUCUAAAACUGUGGUUUUGCUGACUUUCAUUUUCCCUUCCUAAUUAUGGCAUCAAAACAAUAACUUGCUGGGUUUUUUUUCUUUUUUCUUUUUUUUUUCUUCCAGCCAUGGAAACCUUCCCCUCCUCCCCUUUAUAUCUUGUUAAGUGCAUAGCAUUAGAACAAGUAUUUUUUGAUGUUAAUUUUUACUUUAGAAACAAAAUUUUUGUAGAUCUAGCCUAUGAGAUUUAAACUCUUGUUUAAGGAAAGUUUAUCAUUAUCACCGUAACUAUUUUAUUGAGCUCUUAUUUUGCUCCAGGUCCUGUAGUAGACCCCUGUUAGUCCUUACAAUAUUGCUAUAUGUGGAUUUUAUUAUUGUUGUACAGGUAAGGAAACUAAAGCUUCACCGAAAGGACACAUGAUGGCUGGGAUGUGAGCCUAGAUGUGUGAAACUCCACAGUCUCCUUCUUUAUUUUAUUGUAUUGUCUUUAAUUUAUUCUGUUCAUAAGAAUUUGUGCUGCUAAGGUCUCUAGUCUUUUUAUUUCCCAGAGGCUUUGAGGUGGUUCUCAGAUUGACAUGGACAAGCAUUUCUUUAAUAUUCAUGAUGUGUAUGUUUUAAAAUAGAGAGGACUUCUAUGUACGGUUGAUGUGAAGUAAGAUGUUAGGAGCUCAUUUGGGGUUAGAGUUUAUGAUACGUCCCAAGAUAUCAUUGAGUUAACUUUAGGGCCAACUUUGUCUUAUCACUCUUUCCUCAAAGACUUUUAAAAAUACCUAAUUGUACAUGAUGGGCGAAGAAAAGCCUGCUUUCCUGCUCACCAGAUGUUUACAAUCCAGGAUCAGCCCUCUGACAGGGACAAACAAGUGCUGUAGGCAGUGUAGUUGACAUUGUCUCACCUGAGCAGAUUAAAAGGCAUUUCUUCUAUAUAGAUGUCGAGGAAGCUCAGCAUCUUUUUGAGUACAAUUAGCUUGGGAAAGAGAAAUCCAGGACGUUUUUCACUGUUCCUCGGUCGUCUUUAAAAUUGUGCUGUUUUGUGCUGUCACUGAGCUUCAUGUCCCAGGUCGGGGCUUGGGAGGUGUGCGGCAUUUCUUUUGCUUAAGGCUGGCCAGGUCAGAGAGAUUCUAGUCAUGUGCUUUUUGCAAGGAGGUUGGGAUCGGGGUUGGGGUUUGCUUCUGCAGCUCUUCCUGCAAAGCCGGGGGCUCAGCUUCUUUCUCCAUCUGGGUGAAGGUUGCCCCUCUACCCCACCCCUACCCCCAGCUCUAGGGUCCCUUUCCACAGAUUUCCUUUCAGCCUUUUCUUUCUUCUUUUUCUUUCGGUGACACCUUCACCGUGCAUGCAAGCACAAAAGACCAAGAAUAGGUUUCUGUUUGUUUUCAGAAUUCUCUCCUGCUGUAGUGAUUUUGAGAUUCCCCUCCACCUUCCACAUGUUUAAGGGUCUGCCACGUUAUGACUGAUGAUUGUGCUACGUCUAACAUGCUGUUGAAUAUUUUUUAAAAAAACACAUUUUUCAUAUUCAAUUAGAUAUACAGAGAAAAAUGUUAAGAUGUAAUUUUGAUCUUUAAAUGCAGUUAUGUAGAACUAGAAACGGAUAUUAUCUCUUUAAAUGAGACAGCAAGAAUAGGUCUGUUGACCAUGAAUAAUUUUUGUCAGUUUUGCUACCCCGGCAGAUCCUUCAUUAAGCGUUCAGCAUUAAAUUAAAAUAGAACCAGUUUCCAAUAGUAAUUAACUUGAGUAUAUUGGGAGGCUAUUAUUCACAUUAAAGUAACCUUUUAAUAGCUCUGCCUUUAACUUCACUGCAGGUAAUGACUUUAAAGAGCACUUAUUAAAAGAGAAAUGGUAAUGAGCUUUAAUAAAGCAGAACAACUUGAAAAUUAAGAACCAUUUUCUAUGGAAAAGGAUGUAUAGGUGUGACUUCGAUAUUACAUUAAUGGUUCUAAUAAUUCUUUAUCUAGUCUCUUAACAUUAGCAGUGAUUGCAGAGGGACAAUUGUGUUGCAAAAAUUAAUUUUGCCAUUUUGGGGUGAAAUUGUGCUAAUGUGAAAUUUUCUGUUUCAUGUUUUUUCAGGGACUCUUAGUACUAGGAUAGAUGGGUCGCCUACAGUUUUUAAUUUUGAACUCUUAUUAUGCACCCCAUCUUUAAUGAAAAUAAUUAACGUAAAUGGGUUAAUGAAGGUUGUCUUGGACCAUCCUGGUAGUUCAUCCAUUAGAUGCCUGCCUUAGGAGGUUAUGAGGUGAUUAGUAAAAUGUCUAUUUUUCUUCUGAAAUCUCUCCUUCUAAGGACACUGUAGUGGAGAUCCAUUGCUCUCUGAUCUCUCCAUUCCCCUCUUAACCUCUUUUGGGAAGACUGAAUGCUUCCUGAAUAUUCCAUUUCUUACAAUUGAAGCUCCAAUUGGGUUAAGGUUUAUUCUUAAAUUUAGCAAUUGCUAUUUUCCAAUCACCUGUCGAGUUGAUUGUCUUGUAGAAGAAGGUGCAUUUCUGCUUAUAUUUGACUGUCCAGAAAUUUUAAGGUGAAGCAAAAAUAAAACAGCAUUGAUAAUAGAAUCUCUUGUCCUUCAGAUUGGAAAAGAUUAAAAUGAACAGACAUGCCCAUGUCAUCAAGACCAAACCGGUGAAGUUUUCUCAAAGGCAGUUUUUUGGUAUGUGUCAAAAGCCUGAGAAUGUAAAUACCCCUCAACUUAGAAAAUAUACUUCUAAGAUGUACUUUAAGGAAUUAACCAGAAAAGUAUACAAAAAUCUGGAUGUUCAUUAUGUAUAUUACUGAAACGUUAGAAAACAAAACCUAAAUGCCCAGUAGAGGAUUAGUUAAAUAAUUUACAGUAUAGUAUCCACAUAAUGACUUUUACAUAAUGAUUAAAAAGAUGACACUGAUGUUACUUCCUUUAUAUAGAGAGAUUAAAUAAUAUGGCAAAUAUAAGCAUUAUAAAAUAGCAUGUAUAGUAUUAUCAAAUUUUAAAAUGAUUAUUUCUGCAUAGAAAAAUUAUAAAAUGAGGUCUACCAAAUAUAGAGAUUAUCUUCAACUUUUAUUUAAUAAUUUUUUAAAUUUAAAUUUUUAAUUGAAGUCUAGUUGAUCCACAGUAUUUUUGUUUCACGUGUUAUAGCACAGUGAUUCAUAUAUAUAUAUAUAUAACUUUUUCAGAUUCUUUUCCCUUACAGGUUAUUCCAAAAUAUUCCCUAUAUUAUACAGUAGGUCCUUGUUGGUUAUCUAAUUUAUAUAUAGUAGUGUGUAUAUGUUUAUCCCAGCUUCCUAAUUUAUCCUCCCCCCUUUCCCCUUUGGUAAUCAUAAGUUUAUUUUCUAUGUCUGUGGGUCCAUUUCUGUUUUGUAAAUAAGUUCAUUUGUAACUUUUUUUUUUAAGAUUCCACAUAUAUUCGAUAUCCUGUGAUACUUGUCUUUCUCUGGCCUACUUCACUUAGUAUGAUAAUCUCUAGGGCCAUUCAUGGUGCUGCAAAUGACAUUAUUUCAUUCUUUUUCCUGGUUGUAUUAAAGUCCGUUAUAGGUACCACAUCUUCUUUGUCUAAAUUCAUCUGUUCAUGGACAUUUAGGUUGCUUCCAUGUGUUGGCUAUUGUAAAUAGUGCUGCAGUGAAUA